UGGGGAAUCUUGCGCAAUGGGCGAAAGCCUGACGCAGCGACGCCGCGUGGGUGACGAAGGCCUUCGGGUUGUAAAGCCCUGUGGGGGGAGAAGAAUAAGUGGGUGCGAAUAGCACACAUGAUGACGGUAUCCCCUUAGCAAGCACCGGCUAACUCUGUGCCAGCAGCCGCGGUAAGACAGAGGGUGCAAACGUUGUUCGGAAUGACUGGGCGUAAAGCGCAUGUAGGCGGCCUGACAGGUCGGAUGUGAA
rnacentral:rRNA from 1 species